AUUGAACGCUGGCGGCAGGCCUAACACAUGCAAGUCGAACGAGUGGCGGACGGGUGAGUAAUGUCUGGGAAACUGCCUGAUGGAGGGGGAUAACUAAUGGAAACGGUAGCUAAUACCGCAUACCAUCGGAUGUGCCCAGAUGUGAUUAGCUAGUAGGUGGGGUAAAGGCUCACGUAGGCGACGAUCCCUAGCGGGUCUGAGAGGAUCACCAGCCACACUGGAACUGAGACACGGUCCAGACUCCUACGCGAGGCAGCAGGGGGGAAUAUUGCACAAUGGGCGCAAGCCUGAGGCAGCCAUGCCGCGUGUAUGAAGAAGGCCUUCGGGUUGUAAAGUACUUUCAGCGGGGAGGCGUUACCCGCAGAAGAAGCACCGGCUAACUCCGUGCCAGCAGCCGCGGUAAUUC
rnacentral:rRNA from 1 species